rnacentral:rRNA from 1 species
CCUACGGGCGGCAGCAGUGGGGAAUAUUGGACAAUGGGGGCAACCCUGAUCCAGCCAUGCCGCGUGUGUGAAGAAGGCCCUCGGGUUGUAAAGCACUUUCAGUGAGGAAGAACGCCUGGUGGUUAAUACCCAUCAGGAAAGACAUCACUCACAGAAGAAGCACCGGCUAACUCCGUGCCAGUAGCCGCGGUAAUACGGAGGGUGCGAGCGUUAAUCGGAAUUACUGGGCGUAAAGCGCGCGUAGGUGGCUUGAUAAGCCGGUUGUGAAAGCCCCGGGCUCAACCUGGGAACGGCAUCCGGAACUGUCAAGCUAGAGUGCAGGAGAGGAAGGUAGAAUUCCCGGUGUAGCGGUGAAAUGCGUAGAGAUCGGGAGGAAUACCAGUGGCGAAGGCGGCCUUCUGGACUGACACUGACACUGAGGUGCGAAAGCGUGGGUAGCAAACAGGAUUAGAUACCCGUGUAGUC